UGAAGAGAGAGUUUGGAAUAGAAGAAGAUGUGAGGAAGAGAUGAGAUGUCCUGAGUACUUGUGAUAAGUGGUGGAGAGAUUUCAAGUCAAGAUUGGUGACUAGAUGGAUCACAAAAACGAGGAAGGGGCAUAACAGUGAUACACCACCGUACGUACUCUAUCCUUUCAUCACGCAAGAGAUCUGGGACCAGUUUGUGAAAAAAUGUAGCUCUAAGGAGUUUAAGGCUAAAAGUGAAAAAGAAUGUCUCAGGCUGCUAACAAGCAUCCUCAUUUUUUUAGGUCAAAGUCAUAUGCGGAGAUGAUUCCCGUUUGGAAAUGCAAAGGGUAUAUCCCUUCAUCCUCUACAACAUCAUCUGUUGACUCUACAUCAUCAAUGAUUUCCUCUUUGCCGGAUCGAACAUUGCCACGACUUCUUGCGAGAUCGAAAAAAGAUAAGGAUGAAAUUUUUUUUUCCCUAAUGAAGAAACACAAAAGAUAAAAGAGUCCAUUGUAAGUAUUCUUCAAAUUUUAUAAUAUUUUCUUGUCUAAUUACUCGUAUUCUACUAAUCAUACGAAUUUUUUUAAUUGGACGCAUGAUGAUUGGAAAAGGAAAAAUCGAGAGUUUAUUCCACGUCGGAUGGAUGAUGCUCUAUCAUGUGAUAUGUAGAGGAAAGACAGUCCUAGGCGUGUGUUAACAGCUAGGCAUAGUAUUGGGAUUACAUAUGUUUGGGAGAUUGAUCGGAGCAGUACUGCUCGCAAGGGUAGGGGAAUGGAUGAUGAGGAGAUGCAUGCGUUAGAGGCUAGAGUGAGCAAAAGACUUAAAGAACAGACGAUGGAAGAGAUGAACUCGAAGAUAGAUGCAUUAGUUCAAGAAAGGUUCAUGGCUUUUGCGGCGCAAUUAGGUAUUCAAGUACCAAAUCAAACAAGGGAAGAUCCUCACACUCCAACCGCUCCUAGUAGCUGUCAUUCGAAGGGCGAUGAUCCAUUUAUGAACUUGUACGGAUAUAUUUAUUUUAUAUAUCUUCUAAUAUUAUGAUGUUAUGCUUAUAAAAAACUUAAUUAAUGACAUUGUACUCCCAUUGAAUGCUAACAGUCAAGUUCCAUGUCGUUUGGCAUUAACGGAUAUCUCAGGACCGAUCAUUGUAGCUGAAGGUACCGUUCAUCCAUGAAAGGAGUCAUCAUCACAUCCUACCGCCGUGAAAGUGAGUGUUGAUGAUUUUUUUGCGGAGUAUGCAGACGUUCCAGUUCCACUACCUACUCCAUUCAUCAUGAAACUCAGUCAAGCUGAGGGUUCAUGCAUAGAAUGGCCGAAAGAGUUGAUAUUUUUAGUAUCAGAUAAUCUGGUAAGUUAUGUUUAGUAUUUUGAUUUAUAUAAUAAGAAUUCUAAAUUUAUAUACUAAGAAAUCUUCAUUUA